rnacentral:rRNA from 1 species
UCCUAUCAUGCAAGUCGAGCGAACAGAAGGGAGCUUGCUCCCGGAUGUUAGCGGCGGACGGGUGAGUAACACGUGGGUAACCUGCCUGUAAGACUGGGAUAACUCCGGGAAACCGGAGCUAAUACCGGAUAGUUCCUUGAACCGCAUGGUUCAAGGAUGAAAGACGGUUUCGGCUGUCACUUACAGAUGGACCCGCGGCGCAUUAGCUAGUUGGUGGGGUAAUGGCUCACCAAGGCGACGAUGCGUAGCCGACCUGAGAGGGUGAUCGGCCACACUGGGACUGAGACACGGCCCAGACUCCUACGGGAGGCAGCAGUAGGGAAUCUUCCGCAAUGGACGAAAGUCUGACGGAGCAACGCCGCGUGAGUGAUGAAGGUUUUCGGAUCGUAAAGCUCUGUUGUUAGGGAAGAACAAGUGCGAGAGUAACUGCUCGCACCUUGACGGUACCUAACCAGAAAGCCACGGCUAACUACGUGCCAGCAGCCGCGGUAAUACGUAGGUGGCAAGCGUUGUCCGGAAUUAUUGGGCGUAAAGGGCUCGCAGGCGGUUUCUUAAGUCUGAUGUGAAAGCCCCCGGCUCAACCGGGGAGGGUCAUUGGAAACUGGGAAACUUGAGUGCAGAAGAGGAGAGUGGAAUUCCACGUGUAGCGGUGAAAUGCGUAGAGAUGUGGAGGAACACCAGUGGCGAAGGCGACUCUCUGGUCUGUAACUGACGCUGAGGAGCGAAAGCGUGGGGAGCGAACAGGAUUAGAUACCCUGGUAGUCCACGCCGUAAACGAUGAGUGCUAAGUGUUAGGGGGUUUCCGCCCCUUAGUGCUGCAGCUAACGCAUUAAGCACUCCG